rnacentral:snoRNA from 1 species
GUACUGCAGAUUGCUUACCCAUCAGACUUAAACACUGCUCCGAGUGGUUCUAAAAGGAGGGAAAGUAGGCUUAAAAUGGACCUACAUUCUUUUGUGACACACGAGCUAGUUUCAAAGAAAC